rnacentral:lncRNA from 1 species
CUCUGGGAAAUGGAGGGAGUGUGAAUUAUUAUUUGUGUCAUUAAUGAAGGGAAAUGGAAUGGAGUUUGUAAUGUCUCCUUUGUGCCUGUCAGUAUGGUGAAGUUUUUAAAAAGAUGGACAUUAAUAUGGAUCCAUUUGAUUUUUAUAUGUAAUUAAACAAUUGUUGUGCAUUAACACACUGAAGGAAAAUGUUAGUUUGGUGAAUCCAAGUGAAAGAUAUUUGUGAGUAGUUUGUAUACUCUUACAAUUUUUCUAUAAAUUUGCAGUUACUUCAGAUUAAAAACUUAAGAAUUUUGCAAUCCAGUGGUGAUUUGAAAUCACUGGGUUUUUUGUUUGUUUGUUUGUUUCUUGCUUUUUAGGCCUCCAUGUGCUAUGGGUGUGGCCCUAAAAAGACAAAAGACAAAAAAAGAAAUAAAAAAUAAAAAUAAAAUUUCUGUUGUCCUUAAAAAGCCGCCCAACAGCCCUGGCCCACAUGCACCUUAUUAGAGCAGGUGGCUGAAGCCAUGCCCUCUUGAAGCGGAGAAGCUGGCUCUGGAUCCGAGCUGUUAGGCAGCUUCAUAUGUCAUAGAGGAGACGUGUUUUUUUCAAUGUUUUCAAAAAGGAUUGCAGGAUCACCUAAACAGUCUAUAUCUUGAUGCUUGAUCAGUGUUAUUUAGUAGUUGGAAUACUUAUCCAACCAACUCUUAAUUAGCGAUUUUCACUGGCCCCACAAAAUUAGUGAGGCUGGUGUGUCCUCAUCUCUGGGAACAAGGGACUGAAGCACCAGGAAGUUGAGAAGCUUGUUUCAAAUGUCCCAGUAGUCUUCCUUGAACUAGGUUUUCCCACAGUAUUUGUUUGUCACAUACAUACAGAAGAGUCCGCUCUCCCAGUUGAAAUAUAUUUUUCUAGUAGAAAAUGAAUUCUUAGCUCUCUGGAAAUAAACAUCUUUGCAAUGCCUCUCAUAUCACAGCAUCACCCUUUUAACUUUGAAGCAUGGCUUUUAUUCUUACGUCUGUAUUCGUGUUAAAUUAGGAGGAACUCUGACUCGAGGAAAAAAAAAUAUAUAUUUUUUACUAUUUUGUACACCUUUAUGUAAUAACACGUCAAAAGAUCAAGUAUCGUAUACUAUUAACCUUCUGUUACCAAUAUACUGUUUUACAGUAAAACUGUUUCCCUGGAUGAGCAAAGGAAAAUGCUAAAAAGCACUUUCAGGAUAUUUUACCAAUUUUUGGUGAUCCAUGCUGAUUAUUAUACCUCAUUGCCAUUCACCUGUUAUCAAACCGAAAUUAACCUUCAGGUGGGGUCUGGGUGACAGUAAAGGAUGAAGCAUGCCACAGCCAGCACGCGUUUAUCUUAUUCCAAACCCUUAGAACGUAGAAUUAAAAGAACUCAUGUACGAGAAAACCAGACACUCAUUAAGCAUAAUCGCCAAUUAAGUCUGUGUUUGAGCAAGCAUAAGCUAGAUCAAUUGUAUUCAUUUGUUUGAAUGUUGUAAUAUUUUUUAAAAUGUACUCACUCAAGUGGAAAAGUUUCAUACCAGGAGACUGCAUUAAUAAACACAGUACAUCUUUACAGCAGUGAAAAUGAACACAGUGCAGCUAUCUGCAUCAACAUAGGUGAAUCUCACGUUAGGGGAGAAAACGGAAGAAUGUUAUAGUAAUGAUACCACUUGUGUGAAGAUCAAAAACCAAGCCAGCGACCACGACGUACAAAUGUGGUAAAACGGUGCAGGAAGCGAGGGAAGGACAGGUGUCAGGCAAGGAGGGUCGCUACCUGGGGAUGGGGCGGAGUGGAGGGAGCAGAGGCUGCGUCAGAAAGGCUCCAGGGGAGUUUCUGUGAUGUUGCCGAGACGUUCUCAUCUGGAGGUUGGGUUGUUGUUUUACAGGUGUUCAUUCAUUACGAUGCCUUAUGCCCCAUUGACACUCUGCUAUGGAUCAGAUCAUUUCUAAUUCAGUUCUUAUUAAAGCUUAAGGCUUUCUCUUCCAGCAAAAUUCCGUUUUCAUUUUGAUGCAUGUUGAUGCUGCAUUUGAAGCUUUCUUAUACGAUCUUUAAGUAUAAAAUAAUUGUAAACUCAUAAAAAUAAGAAACACUUGCAUUUCCAAGAAAUCCUCAGCUCUUGCAAUAGUUUAUUUUUAUAAUUCAUUUAUAUUCCUUGAAACUUCUAGAUGCAUGCACGUUAACAGCAGGGGAUUGAAAUAAAGGAAAAUGAAAAUAAAAGAAUGGAAACAGAACAUCUCUCCUGGCUUGUGGAGACCUGCUUUGAGUCAAGCUUUAGGUCAUUGCAGAAUAUUGAGUAGAUUUCCCUGUGCUCUGAGGCAGGCCCUUGUUACCUGUUUUAUAAAUACUAGUGUGUGUGUGUAACCCCCCCCCCAAUGCUUAUCCCUCCCCAUUAUGGUUCCAACGGAGGGUUUUAAUAUAAGGAAUCUCACCCUCAGAUUUGUGUUAAGGCAGCGUGAGAGGUGGUUGUGGAGCAGAUGGGACUAGAGGCAGAGGCAGCAGUCAGAAGGCUCUGGCAAUGGUCCAGAGAAGAGGCACCGAGGGUUUGCACCAGCAGCAGCAGUGGGGAAACCUGUUAAAGAAUUCACAGUUCAGAUCUGGAGAGAGGAGAGCGUCGCAGCCUGGAGUGAUGUUUCUGACCUGGGUGAAGGAUGGUGUCAUCUCAAGAAAUGCGGCAUCACUGUGUCUCCAGCUUGCCUUGUUUUUUGUAGUUGACAAAGUGCUUUCACGUGCGUUGUGUGGUUCCUGCCCUCUUCGCCCCUGUGUGCUCUGGUGCAGUGACUUCUGCUGUGAGCCUGACUUCCUGCUGCCUCGUAAGCCUUUGUCUCUGUUCCUAGUCCUCCCUCACCCCCUUGAUCUUCUAACCCCCCACGUGUUUCUCUAGUUCCUCCUCUUCCUCUUCUCUUUCUGUGUAGACAGUCAGGAUGGCUAAACCUGACUGCCCCAGUUGGCACCCUUGCUGAUGGUAUCCGUUAUUUGAUUUCAUUUAUCUCCACAAAGACCCCCGCCCCCCACUUCCUGUCCUGUUUUCUGAACAUUUAGUGUAUUUGCAGCGAUUGAGCUAAUUAAAAUCUUCCUUCCCUAUUUCUUUACUUCUUGUUUAUUUUUAUGACUACAUUUCUCAUUCACCAGGGUCCAAAGCCUUAAAACUGGGUUUAAAUCCUUCCUCUACUCUUAUACCUAAUCAUUUAUCAGAUUCUAUUCAUUCUAUCUUCAAAAUAUCAUCGACCUUUUUUUUGUUACCGCUACUCUACUUCCAACCCUAUGGUUGCUUACCUAUAUCACUCCUCAACCCCUAACCUGUCCCCUCUCCAUUAGUAUCCAGUUUCUCCCAUCCAUCAUAUAUAUUCCUGCCCGAAUAAUCCUGCUAACACAUACUCCAGGCAUUUCUCUCCCUUGUCGAAAUAUCUUGACGAGGUUGAAACUACCAGUUGCAUAAGGAUCACCGGCAUUGCUCUGGAAUUGAGAACUUCUAGGAUCUGCAUGUCAGCUUGCUAAACUUACUUUCUCCAGUUUCCCGUUUUGCACGCUGCUUUCCAGACACCUUAUCCCGUGGUCUUAAACAGCUCCCCACGCGCAUACCUCCCUGUGUCAUCUCUUUCUUCCUGUGCUUUACCAUUCCCAGUCUCCAGAUAUCUAAAACGCUGCGUAAGUAGUCACAUUUUUUUCCAGAUCUUGGACAUGAAGGUAAUCCGUUUCUCCCUUGAACUACUCGAGCACUUUAUCUACCUUACGGUCCAUGCCACGUUCUGUGUGGUGUCUCUUGCUAAACUGUAAGCUCUUUUAGCUCAUGAUUUAUUUCUGACUUAGCCCAGUAGCUCCUUCAGCCGUUAGCAUUGUGCGCUAUGCCUGGUAUAUAUGCUCAAGGUAAUACGUGUAGACAGAAAGGAUCUGCUCCUAUAGCAACUCAGUCAAGUAAGCAAGGCAGGUAACAUUAGCCCCUUUUGAAAGGUCAGGAAGCAGCCACAAAGAGGCUAAGAGAUUGCCCUGUGGUGCCCGAACGCCUGCUGAAAUGCCUCUUUCUAACGCCAAGCCAGUGUCUCUGACUUCACCACGCCACCUCUCAAGGUAGCUGACCUCAAGCAAGCGGAAAGAAGACGUAAGUAGCAGAUGAAUGGUGCUAGGUCAGAGGUUUACAUUUUCCAAACUCCGAGAAUUAAAAUUUUGUUUUGAGGAGUUCCUGUCGUGGCUCAGUGGUUAACGAAUCCGACUAGGAACCGUGAGGUUGCGGGUUCGGUCCCUGGCCUUGCUCAGUGGGUUGAGGAUCUGGCAUUGCCGUGAGCUGUGGUGUAGGUUGCAGACGCGGCUUGGAUCCUGCGUUGAUGUGGCUCUGCAGCGGUGGCUGCAGCUCCGAUUGGACCCCUAGUCUGGGAACCUCCAUAUGCCACGGGAGCGG